rnacentral:rRNA from 1 species
UACGGGGGGAGCAAGCGUUGUUCGGAUUUACUGGGCGUAAAGGGCGCGUAGGCGGCCAGCACAAGUCAGUUGUGAAAUCUCCGGGCUUAACUCGGAAAGGUCAACUGAUACUGUGCGGCUAGAGUGCAGAAGGGGCAACUGGAAUUCUCGGUGUAGCGGUGAAAUGCGUAGAUAUCGAGAGGAACACCGGUGGCGAAGGCGGGUCUCUGGGCCGAUACUGACGCUGAGGUGCGAAAGCGUGGGGAGCAAACAGG